rnacentral:tRNA from 1 species
GUGGUUGUGGCCGAGUGGUUAAGGUGAUGGACUAGCAAUCCAUUAGGGUUUACCUGCGCAGGUUUGAAUCCUGCCAAUUACG